UGAGAAUCCUUACGGCCGAAUAUCCAAGGUUUCCAGGGUAAAGCUGAUCUGCCCUGGGGAAGUCGGGACCUAAGGCGAGGCCGAGAGGCGUAGCCGAUGGACAACAGGUUGAGAUUCCUGUACUACAGUAUGACAGAACUGUGGGGACGCAGAAGGAGAGCACUACCUGGAAUGGAAUCCAGGGGCAAGCACAGGAGGGGUACGGCUGGAAAAACCGCCGUGCAACCCAAAGGUGUGACGCAUACCGAACUAAAGUAGGGAAAUGUGUGAGCCGGCUGCCGAGAAAAGCCGCUAUUGUUUGUACUGUACCCGUACCGUAAACCGACACAGGUGGAUGAGGAGAGAAUCCUAAGGCCGACGGAAGAAGCAUUGCUAAGGAACUCGGCAAAAUGACCCUGUAACUUCGGGAGAAAGGGUGCCUCGAAAGAGGCCGCAGAGAAUAGGCCCAAGCAACUGUUUAGCAAAAACACAGGUCUAUGCAAAACCGCAAGGUGAAGUAUAUGGGCUGACGCCUGCCCGGUGCUGGAAGGUUAAGGGGAGAUGUCAGGAGACGAAGCAUCGAACUUAAGCCCCAGUAAACGGCGGCCGUAACGAUAACGGUCCUAAGGUAGCGAAAUUCCUUGUCGGGUAAGUUCCGACCCGCACGAAAGGCGUAAUGAUUUGGGCGCUGUCUCGGCAAUGCAUCCGGUGAAAUUGAAGUGCCAGUGAAGAUGCUGGCUACCCGCGCCAGGACGGAAAGACCCCAUGGAGCUUUACUCCAGCUUGAUACUGGGAUUCGGUAUUGUAUGUACAGGAUAGGUGGGAGGCUGAGAAAUGGUGACGCCAGUCGCCAUGGAGCCGCUGUUGGGAUACCACCCUUGCAGUACUGGACUUCUAACCAGCAGCCGUGAUCCGGCUGGGGGACAAUGUCAGGUGGGGAGUUUGACUGGGGCGGUCGCCUCCGAAAGGGUAUCGGAGGCGCUCAAAGGUUCCCUCAGAAUGGUCGGAAACCAUUCGAAGAGUGCAAAGGCAGAAGGGAGCUUGACUGCGACACCGACGGGUGGGGCAGGUACGAAAGUAGGACUUAGUGAUCCGGUGGUAUUAAGUGGGAAUGCCAUCGCUCAACGGAUAAAAGCUACCCUGGGAUAACAGGCUUAUCACUCCCAAGAGUUCACAUCGACGGAGUGGUUUGGCACCUCGAUGUCGGCUCAUCGCAUCCUGGGGCUGUAGUAGGUCCCAAGGGUUGGGCUGUUCGCCCAUUAAAGCGGUACGCGAGCUGGGUUCAGAACGUCGUGAGACAGUUCGGUCCCUAUCCGGCGUGGGCGUAGGAUAUUUGAGAGGAGCUGACCUUAGUACGAGAGGACCGGGUUGGACUGACCUCUGGUGCACCGGUUGUCAUGCCAAUGGCACAGCCGGGUAGCCAAGUCGGGAAGGGAUAAACGCUGAAGGCAUCUAAGCGUGAAGCCCCCCUCAAGAUGAGAUAUCCCCCGCAUAAGCGGUAAGACCCCUUGAAGACGACGAGGUAGAUAGGGCGGAGGUGGAAGUGCAAAUGUAUGGAGCUGACUGCUACUAAUAGGUCGAAGGCUUAACU
rnacentral:rRNA from 1 species